CCUACGGGUGGCUGCAGUGAGGAAUAUUGGUCAAUGGGCGCGAGCCUGAACCAGCCAAGUCGCGUGAGGGAAGACGGUCCUAUGGAUUGUAAACCUCUUUUGUCGGGGAGCAAACGACGCCACGCGUGGCGUUCCGAGAGUACCCGAAGAAAAAGCAUCGGCUAACUCCGUGCCAGCAGCCGCGGUAAUACGGAGGAUGCGAGCGUUAUCCGGAUUUAGUGGGUUUAAAGGGUGCGUAGGCGGACGCUUAAGUCAGCGGUAAAAUUGCGGGGCUCAACCUCGUCGGGCCGUUGAAACUGGGGGCCUUGAGUGGGCGAGAAGUACGCGGAAUGCGUGGUGUAGCGGUGAAAUGCUUAGAUAUCACGAAGAACUCCGAUUGCGAAGGCAGCUCACUGGACUGCAACUGACACUGAGGCUCGAAAGUGUGGGUAUCAAACAGGAUUAGAUACCCGAGUAGUC
rnacentral:rRNA from 1 species